rnacentral:rRNA from 1 species
GAUGAACGCUGGCGGCGUGCCUAAUACAUGCAAGUCGAGCGAACAGACGAGGAGCUUGCUCCUCUGACGUUAGCGGCGGACGGGUGAGUAACACGUGGAUAACCUACCUAUAAGACUGGGAUAACUUUGGGAAACCGGAGCUAAUACCGGAUAAUAUAUUGAACCGCAUGGUUCAAUAGUGAAAGACGGUUUUGCUGUCACUUAUAGAUGGAUCCGCGCCGCAUUAGCUAGUUGGUAAGGUAACGGCUUACCAAGGCAACGAUGCGUAGCCGACCUGAGAGGGUGAUCGGCCACACUGGAACUGAGACACGGUCCAGACUCCUACGGGGGGCAGCAGUAGGGAAUCUUCCGCAAUGGGCGAAAGCCUGACGGAGCAACGCCGCGUGAGUGAUGAAGGUCUUCGGAUCGUAAAACUCUGUUAUUAGGGAAGAACAAAUGUGUAAGUAACUAUGCACGUCUUGACGGUACCUAAUCAGAAAGCCACGGCUAACUACGUG